rnacentral:rRNA from 1 species
GAGGAAUAUUGGGCAAUGCCCGCAAGGGUGACCCAGCAACGCCGCGUGGAGGAUGAAUGUCGUAAGAUUGUAAACUCCUGUUAGAGGGGAAGAAUAGUACCGGUUGGACCGGUAUAUGACUGUACCCUCAGAGAAAGCCCCGGCUAACGACGUGCCAGCAGCCGCGGUAAUACGUAGGGGGCAAGCGUUGUCCGGAUUUACUGGGUGUAAAGGGCGCGCAGGCGGGAUAAAAAGUCAGUGGUGAAAUCCUACAGCUUAACUGUAGAACUGCCUUUGAGACGUUUAAUCUUGAGUUCGGGAGAGAGAGACGGAAUUCCAGGUGUAGUGGUUAAAUACGUAGAUAUCUGGAAGAACACCAGUUGCGAAGGCGGUC